rnacentral:rRNA from 1 species
CUUAACACAUGCAAGUCGAACGGAAAGGCCCUGCUUUUGUGGGGCGCUCGAGUGGCGAACGGGUGAGUAACACGUGAGUAACCUGCCCUUGACUUUGGGAUAACUUCAGGAAACUGGGGCUAAUACCGGAUAGGAGCUCCUGCUGCAUGGUGGGGGUUGGAAAGUUUCGGCGGUUGGGGAUGGACUCGCGGCUUAUCAGCUUGUUGGUGGGGUAGUGGCUUACCAAGGCUUUGACGGGUAGCCGGCCUGAGAGGGUGACCGGCCACAUUGGGACUGAGAUACGGCCCAGACUCCUACGGGAGGCAGCAGUGGGGAAUAUUGCACAAUGGGCGGAAGCCUGAUGCAGCAACGCCGCGUGCGGGAUGACGGCCUUCGGGUUGUAAACCGCUUUCGCCUGUGACGAAGCGUGAGUGACGGUAAUGGGUAAAGAAGCACCGGCUAACUACGUGCCAGCAGCCGCGGUGAUACGUAGGGUGCGAGCGUUGUCCGGAUUUAUUGGGCGUAAAGGGCUCGUAGGUGGUUGAUCGCGUCGGAAGUGUAAUCUUGGGGCUUAACCCUGAGCGUGCUUUCGAUACGGGUUGACUUGAGGAAGGUAGGGGAGAAUGGAAUUCCUGGUGGAGCGGUGGAAUGCGCAGAUAUCAGGAGGAACACCAGUGGCGAAGGCGGUUCUCUGGGCCUUUCCUGACGCUGAGGAGCGAAAGCGUGGGGAGCGAACAGGCUUAGAUACCCUGGUAGUCCACGCUGUAAACGGUGGGUACUAGGUGUGGGGUCCAUUCCACGGGUUCCGUGCCGUAGCUAACGCUUUAAGUACCCCGCCUGGGGAGUACGGCCGCAAGGCUAAAACUCAAAGGAAUUGACGGGGCCCCGCACAAGCGGCGGAGCAUGCGGAUUAAUUCGAUGCAACGCGUAGAACCUUACCUGGGUUUGACAUGGAUCGGGAGUGCUCAGAGAUGGGUGUGCCUCUUUUGGGGUCGGUUCACAGGUGGUGCAUGCCUGUCGUCAGCUCGUGUCGUGAGAUGUUGGGUUAAGUCCCGCAACGAGCGCAACCCUUGUUCACUGUUGCCAGCACGUUAUGGUGGGGACUCAGUGGAGACCGCCGGGGUCAACUCGGAGGAAGGUGGGGAUGACGUCAAGUCCUCAUGCCCCUUAUGUCCAGGGCUUCACGCAUGCUACAAUGGCUGGUACAGAGAGUGGCGAGCCUGUGAGGGUGAGCGAAUCUCGGAAAGCCGGUCUCAGUUCGGAUUGGGGUCUGCAACUCGACCUCAUGAAGUCGGAGUCGCUAGUAAUCGCAGAUCAGCAACGCUGCGGUGAAUACGUUCCCGGGGCUUGUCCACACCGCCCGUCAAGUCAUGAAAGUUGGUAACACCCGAAGCCGGUGGCCUAACCGAUGUGGGGGAGCCGUCGAAGGUGGGACUGGUGAUUAGGACUAA